AGCAGGAAAAAAAUGGUGAGGAUUUCAGAGUCUGAAAAGAACCAAAUUGUGAGGGCUAGACAAAUGGGUCAAAACUGCAGCUCUUGUGGGGUGUUCCCAGUCUGCAAUCAAAAGUGGUCCAAGGUAGUAACUGUGGUGAGCCAGCGACAGGGUUAUGGGGCAUGGAUGACCCACCUCCUUACAGGAUUUAAAAGAAAGAUGUGUUGCUAGGACCUAUGUUGUGUUUACACCCUUUUUGUGAAUUGGAGCUGAUUGUUUUUCGUACUGCUGUGUUGAUGAUACAGGAUAUAAAGGCUACCUGCAAACCAAACUGCACAAUAUGGACAAUUAUCCUGUCUCAUUCUGGAAGAGAAAAAAAAGGGAAAGCAUCAAGUUCAUAUCGAAAUAGGGCUUUCAGUGUAAAUCUGUUUCUUUUGUUAGCAUAAUGAGCUCUGUGUCUGGAUCCCAUCUAGAUUAAACUGAACUAAAGGAAGCUGGAGGAGCAUUAAUUGGGACAAAAGACAAUUGGAGGAUGACAACUUGUCAGCAGGAGAUAAACUGGGCAAAUGAAUAAGACAUGAAGAAAAUAAAAGGGAGCUAAGAGAUUGCAGAUCAAGGCGUUGUUCUACAGUUUAAAAGCAGAGUCGUCGAAAGAGGUGAAGAGAUGUUUAAUGGUGACUAACGUUAGCUGCCAAACGCCUUUGGCGACUCAGUGACUCACCAUCAAAGUGAACUCUGACCAAGUGUUUCCAACGUGGCAGCCGUGCAGGGCUGAAGGGGAGAAACACGGACAAGACAGGAGGGGAAGGGUACAGAGUGUAACUAAGGGAGCAGCUGGGAGGCAGGUUCUGCUAUGAUUUGACAGUUUAUGGUCAGUGCAUUUAUCACAAAUGUCAUCCUUCAUCACAGCCGAGAUCUACCACGUAGCCUGCAUUUACUAAAUAAAUGGUAAAGGUCUAGAUAAAGCCACGAGUGUAAUGGAAAAUGCUGGCAGUAAAGGUAUCUGUUAAGAUUUUUGAUGCAUACACAGUCACAAACUUCAGUCUGAAAGCAGUCUGAAUUGCCAGGGAUACCAGAAACCCAGAGUAUUAUAUGACAAUCGGUGAGGGCUGCGGCAGAAGAAUGCUGCAUAGGCUCUACUUGUUUGGAAUUUUAUUGAUUUGACUUUUAAACAGAUGUGUGUGUGAGGCUGUAUUUCUAUAGCAAUCAAAACCUAUCAAACCCGAAACGGCAGAUUCUUUUUUUUCUUUUACUAUGCAGUACAAUAAAGCGGCAUUAUUUCGAUCCAAAGGCUUCAGCCCAAUUUAAAACUUGAGUCUAUCUAAACAAGAAUAGUCAACAAAGCCCAUAGUACUGGUUCAGCGUGCUACCAUAUGUGAUCCUCUACUGUUGAGAUAGAGCUCAGAGAAAGUAUCUCGCCACAGUAAUUUUUUUAAUCAUCAAUAGAUAGGCUCUGCAUUCAGCAGCAGAAAGGAUUUUCAAUGCAUGCCCAUUCUGUACUGCAUGUCUAGCCAUAUGUUAGUACUUGACCUUUAGGGCAACAUAAAUCAUGCAUUUCCAUAUUCAGUUUUCCUGUUUGUAUUCAUGCUUAAGCAGAUAAAAUCAGAUAU